ensembl:lncRNA
GGGGGUGGCCCGGGCUGAGCGAUUGAGGACGAGCCUCAGGGUAGGGGCGGGGUCGGCGGGCGGGCUAAGCUAGGCGAGCCGGGCACCGCCAGGGAUAAAUGACGCGGCUGGGACAGGGCGUCAUUUGGUGGAAUGCUAGCCUACGAGAUAGAGUCCAGAAGAGCGGGCCCGAAGACUGCUCGAGGGACCGGGGAAGGAUGACUGGCAGCUCCAGGACGAGGAAGGAGGGAGGAGACGACGGGCGUAGGCUUACUCUUCAGGACAUCCUGACAGCAUCCAAGAGAAUGGAGGGGGCCUGCAUCCUGCUCACUGGAGGAUCUCUCUCUUCAAGGCUCAUCUGCCUCCGGAGCAGUAAGCCCCUUCUUCCAGGCAGUGGAUAGAGUGGGUCUCUAUGGCCUCACUGGGCUACAGGAACCCUGAUGGAUGGGUGGGUCCUCCACACACCUCACUGGACCAGAGCUUGGACACCUAGAAAGCUUUGGCCCCAGGCCACAGAAGGGACUCACAGCCUUCAUCCAUCAGUCCAGCAUCAGUAUUCUAACAAUCCCAAGCCACAUUUACUGAACUCAUGUUCUGCUCCAGUAACCACAUCAUUCCCCCUUUUACCUUUAUUGGCCUCCCGUCUUUAAAAUAAAAUCUGAGAUCCACACCAUGACUUCCAAAGCCCUGCUUGGUGUUCCAGUCUCUCUCCAACUUUCUCCUUUGCCCAUUACAAUCUGACCAAGAUGUUCUCUCUCUAUUCUAUGAACACAUCUGUGUUUUUCUGCCUUUGGGUCUUUGUCCAGGCCUCUCUCUACUUGGAACUAGAUUGUAAGCCCUGUAAUGGCAAGGACUGUGUUCACUUUUGUUUAUCUCUAAAUCCUCACAUGUUUAAACAAUAGACAAUAAUGCCAGCUCUAACAGGUCUUAAUAAACAGUCCUGGAAUAAA